rnacentral:rRNA from 1 species
GAUGAACGCUGACAGAAUGCUUAACACAUGCAAGUCUUUGGCGAAGCUGUGCUUGCACAGCCUAGCCAAGGCGGACGGGUGAGUAACGCGUAAGGAACUUGCCCUGCAGUCAGGGAUAACAGACGGAAACGACUGAUAAGACCUGGUAAAGUCAGGCGGACUCAUGUCCAGCCUGAUGAAAAGUGAUGCUGCAGGAGAGCCUUGCGUCCUAUUAGCUUGUUGGUGGGGUAACGGCCCACCAAGGCGAUGAUAGGUAGCCGGCCUGAGAGGGUGGACGGCCACAAGGGGACUGAGAUACGGCCCUUACGCCUACGGGAGGCAGCAGUGGGGAAUAUUGGACAAUGGGGGCAACCCUGAUCCAGCAAUUCUGUGUGCACGAUGAAGGUUUUCGGAGUGUAAAGUGCUUUCAGCAGGGAAGAAAAAAAUGACGGUACCUGCAGAAGAAGCGACGGCUAAAUACGUG